CUAAGAAAGAAGACUCCACUGACCCUAUACUGUACCUUGAUGCUACAGGAAAUGUUGCAUCAAAAGUUCCUGGUCAGACCAAAAGAGUCCUUUACUACUCUCUCAGUCUGCCUGGAUGUGGUCAGAAUGCUCCUCCCCUCCCUGUCUGUGAGAUGCUGACAAAUGAACACUCUAUUCCACAAAUCACAUUCUGGAUAAUGCAGUUCCUCCGAAAACUUUCACAGUACACAAAACUAAGAGUGCACCAGAUAGAAACAGACUAUAGCUGGACACUGCUCCAAAGUGUUCUUCUGUCAUUUAACAGGGAGAGCAUUGUCGACUACUUGGACAGGGCUUUUGACAUUUGUUCAAAACUGAAGACAUGGAAGGAUAUCAAAGCAUUUACAGUGCUACAAAUAUGUUCUGCCAAAGGUUUGAAUGAAUUUGCAACAUUUGCAUUUGCCAGGUUGCAAAACACUACCUCAAUGACCACACUGUGGUAGGCACUGUCUUAAUUGGGAAGCACAACACCAUUACUGUCAUGAUUAAUCUGAAGGCCAUGUAGGACUUAAUAAAAGAAGGCAAGAUUCCAGACAUAGAAGAUUUAGAGGACAAUUUACAGAACAGUCCCUUAACUCAGGAAGAAGAUGAAGAGGACUGAACAAAUGCCCGCACUAUUGUUGGCAGAUCUCCCUUCACAUACGAAUUCAAGAAGGUAUUGAAGGAGGUACAGGAAGAGCUUGAAAAAGGAUUCUGAGACUACAAACUAUAAAGAAAAUGCAUACUUCUGCCCAGGCAUUGUUGAUGUCCUUUUUGGCAACUAUCUUGGCUUUUUUUCCACUUUGGAGUGGUCUUCUGUUGGGGGAUUUGAAACGGUAUGCAGAUGGCAAUGAAGAUGACAGCUCUGUGCCAAGUAAAACAAGGGACACAAAUUGCCAUAUUGAGCGAUGGUUCGGAAUCGUGAAACAGUCAAUUCUGAAAAAACAAAGACGCCAGAGGCCAGGAGCAUUUGUCAGAAAAAUGUAUGCCUCUUUACAGGGGAGGUACAUAGAACACAUAAUGGCUCAUAACUUCUCUGAACGGCUGCUACUCAGACACAUCCGAAGAAAAGCCCUAACUUAAUCUCAGGAAGGUUUGGCAAAGAGUGAGAGAGUCAAUCAAGAAAAAAAGCAAAGAUGUCAAUAACAGCAGUACUGACCUCACACAUAAAAUGUCUGAGACUGCCACAGAGGUUGAUGCCCUUUGGACACACAAACCUACUGAAAUUGUAGUUGCUCUUGUAAAGCGGGAACAGAGCCAGAAUUUCACUCUGUGGCACAGAGAGUUACAGACUUUGAGGCCUGAUGAACUCAUUGUACUGUAGAAUGUGGCUUCAGCAAAGAGAAGAACUGCAGAACUAAAGACUGAUCACUAACAGCUGAGUUUAUUUAGUGACUUUACAUUCAGCAUCAUGAUGUUUUAGUGUUAGAUUUAAAUCCAAUUAACUCAUUUCUGUCUUAAUUAAUCGUCAUUCGUUUGUUAUUCAGGCAGCUUCUUUUGUUUAUCAGUUAUCUUUUUGUACAUUUAAUAUAUUAUACACACACAUACAUAUAUAACGUGUAGCCGCCUGCAGAAAUCCUGCACAUUUUCUACUAUAUCCUGAUUUUUCUCAUCGUCUCUUCACUCGCUUGAUCUGUUAAAGCAAAGAAUUCCGACCAAAGUCAAGAUGGAUUUUAAUAUGUCGGGUCUGUUACUGUAAAAUCUUUAAAAUGUUUCUAUUUAUGAGAAUAAAAUUGAGCUCAUGAGCAUUUA